AGUGAACGCUGGCGGUAUGCCUAACACAUGCAAGUCGAACGGCAGCACAGUAAGAGCUUGCUCUUACAGGUGGCGAGUGGCGUACGGGGUAGGAAUACAGCGGAAUCUACUUUUUCGUGGGGGAUAACGUAGGGAAACUUACGCUAAUACCGCAUACGACCUGCGGGUGAAAGCAGGGGAUCUUCGGACCUUGCGCGAUUGAAUGAGCCGAUGUCGGAUUAGCUAGGUGGCGGGGUAAAGGCCCACCAAGGCGACGAGCCGUAGCUGGUCUGAGAGGAUGUUAGGCGAAACUGGAAGUGAGACAGGGUCCAGACUCCUACGGGAGGCCGCAGUGGGGAAUAUUGGACAAUGGGCGCAAGCCUGAUCCAGCCAUACCGAGUGGGUGAAGAAGGCCUUCGGGUUGUAAAGACCUUUUGUUGGGAAAGAAAAGCAGCAGGUUAAUACCCCGCUGUUCUGACGGUACCCAAAGAAUAAGCACCGGCUAACUUCGUG
rnacentral:rRNA from 1 species